AUGUCACCCAUUGUCACCCAAUGUCCCCUUGGUGUCACCUGGUGUCACCCAUUGUCACCCAGUGCCACCCAAUCUCCCCUUAGUGUCACCCAAUGUCCCCUUGGUGACACCCGGUGUCACCCGAUGUCACCCAUUGUCACCCAAUGUCCCCUUUGUGUCACCUGUUGUCACCCAGUGUCACCCAAUGUCCCUUUGGUGUCACCCAAUGUCCCUUUGGUGUCACCCGGUGUCACCCAGUGUCACCCAUUGUCACCCAAUGUCCCCUUGGUGUCACCCGUUGUCACCCAGUGUCACCCAAUGUCCCCUUGGUGUCACCCAAUGUCCCCUUGGUGUUACCCGGUGUCACCCAGUGUCACCCAAUGUCCCUUUGGUGUCACCCGAUGUCACCCAUUGUCACCCUAUGUCCCCUCGGUGUCCCCUCAGAGUCACCCAAUGUCACCCAGUGUCCCUUGGUGUCACCUGGUGUCACCCAAUGCCGCCUUGGUGUCACCCAGUGUCCCCUUGGUGUCACUUGGUGUCACCUGGUGUCACCCGUUGUCACCCAGUGCCACCCAAUCUCCCCUUAGUGUCACCCAGCGUCCCCUUGGUGUCACCCGUUGUCACCCAGUGUCCCUUUGGUGUCACCCGAUGUCACCCAUUGUCACCCAAUAUCCCCUUGGUGUCCCCUCAGUGUCACCCAGUGUCACCCAAUGUCCCUUGGUGUCACCUGGUGUCACCCAAUGUCCCUUUGGUGUCACCCAUUGUCACACAGUGUCACCCAAUGUUCUUUUGGUGUCACUGGAUGUCACCCAAUGCCCCUUUGGUGUCACCCAGUGUCACCCAAUGUCGCAUUGGUGUCACCCAAUGUCCCUUUGGAGUCAUCUAAUGUCACCCAAUGUCCCUUUGGUGUCACCCAUUGUCACCCAGUAUCACCCAGUGUCACCCAGUAUCCCCCAAUGUCCCUUGGUGUCAGUUGAUGUCACCCAGUAUCCCUUUGGUGUCACCCGUUGUCCCCCAUUGUCCCCCAGGGUCCCUUUGGUGUCACCUGUUGUCACCCAUUGUCACCCAGUGUCCCUUUGUUGUCACCUGAUGUCACCCAAUGUCACCCAAAGUCCCUCUUUGUGUCGCCUACUGUCCUUUUGGUGUCACCCACUGUUCCCUUGCUGUCACCCACCCCCUCCCCGUGUCCCUUUGUGCCAUGUGAAUGUCACCCUUGGGUGUCUGUUACCCUGGGGCAUCACCUUUGGUCUCGUGUCACCCUUGGGUGCCCCUUUGGGUGUCCGUCAUCUUUGGGUGUCACCUUUGGGGGUCUGUCACCCUUGGGUGUCAACCUUGGCUGUCACCUUUGGUCUCGUGUCACCCUUGGGUGCCCCUUUGGGUGUCUGUCACCUUUGGGUGUCCCCUUUCUGCAUUCCUUUUGGGUGUCCCCAUUGGGUGUCACCCAUGGGUGCCAUGCCGGAUGUCCCCUGUGUCACCCAUAGGUGCCCUGCUGGGUGUCCCCAUUGGGUGUCACCUAUGGGUGUCGUGUUGGGUGUCCUUUGUGUCACCCUUGGGUGUCCCCAUUGUCACACAUGGGUGCCCUGUUGGGUGUCCCCAUUGGGUGUCACCUUUGGGUGCUCUGCUGGUUAUCCCAUUGGGUGUCCCCUGUGUGCCAUGUUGGGUGUCACCCAUGGGUGCCCCAUUGGGUGUCUCCAUUGUCACCUUUGGGUGUCCUUUGUGUCACCCUUGGGUGUCCGCUGUGUCACCCAUGGCUACCUUGCUGUUGUCCCCAUUGGGUGUCACCCAUGGGUGCCCUGCUGGGUGUCCCGUGUGUCACCCUUGGGUGUCCCCUGUGUCACCCUUGGGUGCCC
rnacentral:lncRNA from 1 species